CCGCUAUUGGAGUUCGAUUAAGCCAUGCGAGUCGCGAGAAAUUAGAUUCUCGGCGUACCGCUCAGUAACACGUGGGUAACCUGCCCUAUGCUGGAUAAUAACCUCGGGAAACUGAGUAUAAUGAUCCAUAGUUCACUACGCCUGGAACGGUGAGUGGAUGAAAGCUCCGGCGGCAUAGGGUGGGCCUGCGGCGUAUCAGGUUGUAGGGGGUGUAACGUACCCUCUAGCCCUCUACGCGUACGGGUGUUGGGAGACAUAGCCCGGAGAUGGAUUCUGAGACACGAAUCCAGACCCUACGGGGUGCAGCAGGCGCGAAAACUUGGCAAUGCGAGAAAUCGUGACCAGGGAACUCCAAGUGCAUCGGGUAAGACCGGUGCUUUUCUUGACUCUAAAUAGGUCUUGGAAUAAGGGGUGGGUAAGGACGGUGCCAGCCGCCGCGGUAAUACCGGCGCCUCAAGUGGUAGUCGCUUUUAUUGGGCCUAAAACGUCCGUAGCCGGUCUGAUACAUUCGUGGGUAAAUCAACCAGCUCAACUGGUUGAAUUCUGCGAGGACGGUCAGACUUGGGACCGGGAGAGGUGUGGGGUACGCUCAGGGUAGGGGUAAAAUCCUGUCAUCCUGAGCGGACCACCUGUUGCGAAGGCGCCACACUAGAACGGAUCCGACGGUCAGGGACGAAGCCUAGGGGCACGAACCGGAUUAGAUACCCGGGUAGUCCUAGGUGUAAACGCUGUGGACUUGAUGUUGGGGGUGCUCCGAGCACUCUCAGUGUCGAAGCGAAGGUGAUAAGUCCACUGCCUGGGAAGUACGGUCGCAAGGCUGAAACUUAAAGGAAUUGGCGGGGGAGCACCGCAACCUGAGGAUUGUGCGG
rnacentral:rRNA from 1 species